rnacentral:rRNA from 1 species
UACGUAGGGUGCAAGCGUUGUCCGGAAUUAUUGGGCGUAAAGAGCUCGUAGGCGGUCUGUCGCGUCUGCUGUGAAAACUCGGGGCUUAACCCCGGGCCUGCAGUGGGUACGGGCAGACUAGAGUGCGGUAGGGGAGACUGGAAUUCCUGGUGUAGCGGUGAAAUGCGCAGGUAUCAGGAGGAGCACCGGUGGCGAAGGCGGGUCUCUGGGCCGUAACUGACGCUGAGGAGCGAAAGCAUGGGGAGCAAACAGG